rnacentral:rRNA from 1 species
UACGUAGGGAGCAAGCGUUAUCCGGAAUGAUUGGGCGUAAAGCGUCCGCAGGUGGCUAUGUAAGUCUGCUGUUAAAGAGUGAGGCUCAACCUCAUAAGAGCAGUGGAAACUACAUGGCUAGAGUGCGUUCGGGGCAGAGGGAAUUCCUGGUGUAGCGGUGAAAUGCGUAGAGAUCAGGAAGAACACCAGUGGCGAAGGCGGCUCACUGGACCGGUAUUGACGCUGAGGCGCGAAAGCUAGGGGAGCGAACGGG